rnacentral:misc_RNA from 1 species
CAACCCUCGCAGCCCCUCUGGGCAGCGGUGUUGGGGACCGGCACCACCUCCGCGCCUCCGGGCACGCAGGCGCCGCCCCCGAAAUCCAGUGGCGGCCUCGCUGCAGCCUCCCUUGCGUAGUAGCACACCUCGCACCGGAGCGCAGCGCGGCCACGCCGUAAAACCCCCGACUCUCUGA